rnacentral:rRNA from 1 species
GACGAACGCUGGCGGCGUGCUUAACACAUGCAAGUCGAACGGAGUUUUCUGGAUCAAGGCUUCGGCCAAGUGAAUGAAAACUUAGUGGCGGACUGGUGAGUAACGCGUGAGGAACCUGCCUUUCAGAGGGGGACAACAGUUGGAAACGACUGCUAAUACCGCAUGAAGCAUAGAGAUCGCAUGGUCUUUAUGCCAAAGAUUUUAUCGCUGAAAGAUGGCCUCGCGUCUGAUUAGCUAGUUGGUGAGGUAACGGCCCACCAAGGCGACGAUCAGUAGCCGGACUGAGAGGUUGACCGGCCACAUUGGGACUGAGAUACGGCCCAGACUCCUACGGGAGGCAGCAGUGGGGAAUAUUGGGCAAUGGACGCAAGUCUGACCCAGCAACGCCGCGUGAAGGAAGAAGGCUUUCGGGUUGUAAACUUCUUUGACGAGGGACGAAACAAAUGACGGUACCUCGAAAACAAGCCACGGCUAACUACGUGCCAGCAGCCGCGGUAAAAC